rnacentral:misc_RNA from 1 species
GAUGAAGAACGUAGCGAAAUGCGAUAAGUAAUGUGAAUUGCAGAAUUCAGUGAAUCAUCGAAUCUUUGAACGCACAUUGCGCCCGCCAGUAUUCUGGCGGGCAUGCCUGUCCGAGCGUCAUUUCAACCCUCGAACCCCUCCGGGGGGUCGGCGUUGGGGAUCUCGGGAGCCCCUAAGACGGGAUCCCGGCCCCGAAAUACAGUGGCGGUCUCGCCGCAGCCUCUCCUGCGCAGUAGUUUGCACAACUCGCACCGGGAGCGCGGCGCGUCCACGUCCGUAAAACACCCAACUUCUGAAAUGUUGACCUCGGAUCAGGUAGGAAUACCCGCUGAACUUAAGCAUAUCAAUAAGCGGAGGA